GACGAACGCUGGCGGCGUGCUUAACACAUGCAAGUCGAACGAAGAGCGAUGGAAGCUUGCUUCUAUCAAUCUUAGUGGCGAACGGGUGAGUAACGCGUAAUCAACCUGCCCUUCAGAGGGGGACAACAGUUGGAAACGACUGCUAAUACCGCAUACGAUCUAAUCUCGGCAUCGAGGAUAGAUGAAAGGUGGCCUCUACAUGUAAGCUAUCACUGAAGGAGGGGAUUGCGUCUGAUUAGCUAGUUGGAGGGGUAACGGCCCACCAAGGCGAUGAUCAGUAGCCGGUCUGAGAGGAUGAACGGCCACAUUGAGACUGAGACACGGCCCAGACUCCUACGGGAGGCAGCAGUGGGGAAUCUUCCGCAAUGGACGAAAGUCUGACGGAGCAACGCCGCGUGAGUGAUGACGGCCUUCGGGUUGUAAAGCUCUGUUAAUCGGGACGAAAGGCCUUCUUGCGAAUAGUGAGAAGGAUUGACGGUACCGGAAUAGAAAGCCACGGCUAACUACGUG
rnacentral:rRNA from 1 species